rnacentral:rRNA from 1 species
GACGUAGGGCGCGAGCGUUGUCCGGAUUUAUUGGGCGUAAAGAGCUCGUAGGUGGCUUGUCGCGUCGUUCGUGAAAACUCACAGCUCAACUGUGAGCUUGCGGUCGAUACGGGCAGGCUAGAGUUCGGUAGGGGAGACUGGAAUUCCUGGUGUAGCGGUGAAAUGCGCAGAUAUCAGGAGGAACACCGGUGGCGAAGGCGGGUCUCUGGGCCGAUACUGACGCUGAGGAGCGAAAGCGUGGGGAGCGAACAGG